AUUGAACGCUGGCGGCAGGCCUAACACAUGCAAGUCGAGCGGAUGAAGGGAGCUUGCUCCUGGAUUCAGCGGCGGACGGGUGAGUAAUGCCUAGGAAUCUGCCUGGUAGUGGGGGAUAACGUCCGGAAACGGGCGCUAAUACCGCAUACGUCCUGAGGGAGAAAGUGGGGGAUCUUCGGACCUCACGCUAUCAGAUGAGCCUAGGUCGGAUUAGCUAGUUGGUGGGGUAAAGGCCUACCAAGGCGACGAUCCGUAACUGGUCUGAGAGGAUGAUCAGUCACACUGGAACUGAGACCCGGUCCAGCCCCCUACGGGGGGCCGCAGGGGGGAUUUUUGGACAUGGGGCGAAAGCCUGACCCAGCCAUGCCGCGGGUGUGAAGAAGGUCUUCGGUUUGUAAAGCACUUUAAGUUGGGAGGAAGGGCAGUAAGUUAAUACCUUGCUUUUUUGACGUUACCAACAGAAUAAGCCCCGGCUACCUUCGU
rnacentral:rRNA from 1 species